GACGAACGCUGGCGGUGUGCUUAACACAUGCAAGUCGAACGGUAAGGCCCUUUCGGGGGUAUCCGACUGGUGAACGGGUGCGUAACACGUGAGUAAACUGCCCUCUUUACUGUGUUAACAGGCGGAAACGGUUGCUAAUACCGGUAAUACGCCUGCCAGGCAUCUUGUGGGAUGGAAAGAUCUUUUUGGUUGGGGCUGGGCUCGCGGCCUAUCAGCUUGUUGGUGGGGUAGUGGGUCACCAAGGCCUCGACAGGUAGACGGACUGUGAGGGCGAGCGGCGACAUUGAGACUGAGGUACGGCCCAAACUGCUACGGGAGGCAGCAGUGGGGAAUAUUGCACAAUGGACAGCGGUCUGAUGCAGCAGCGCCGCGUGCGGGAUGACGGCCUUCUGGUUGUAGACCGCUUUCAAUUGUGACGAAGCUUUUUGUGACGGUAGCAGUAGAAGAAGCACCGGCUAACUACGUG
rnacentral:rRNA from 1 species